CCUACGGGUGGCAGCAGUGGGGAAUAUUGGACAAUGGGCGCAAGCCUGAUCCAGCAAUGCCGCGUGUGUGAAGAAGGCCUUCGGGUUGUAAAGCACUUUAAGUUGGGAGGAAAAGCUUGGGGUUAAUAGCCUUAAGUGUUGACGUUACCAACAGAAUAAGCACCGGCUAACUCCGUGCCAGCAGCCGCGGUAAUACGGAGGGUGCAAGCGUUAAUCGGAAUUACUGGGCGUAAAGCGCGCGUAGGCGGUUUGUUAAGUCAGAUGUGAAAUCCCCGGGCUCAACCUGGGAAUGGCAUUUGAGACUGGCAGGCUAGAGUAUGGUAGAGGUGAGUGGAAUUUCAGGUGUAGCGGUGAAAUGCGUAGAGAUCUGAAGGAACAUCAGUGGCGAAGGCGACUCACUGGGCCAUUACUGACGCUGAGGUGCGAAAGCGUGGGUAGCA
rnacentral:rRNA from 1 species